GUGACCUCAAAUCAGGUAGGACUACCCGCUGAACUUAAGCAUAUCAAUAAGCGGAGGAAAAGAAACUAACAAGGAUUCCCCUAGUAACUGCGAGUGAAGCGGGAAAAGCUCAAAUUUAAAAUCUGGCGGUCUUUUGGCUGUCCGAGUUGUAAUCUAGAGAAGUGUUAUCCGCGCUGGACCGUGUACAAGUCUCCUGGAAUGGAGCAUCAUAGAGGGUGAGAAUCCCGUCUUUGACAUGGACUACCAGGGCUUUGUGAUGCGCUCUCAAAGAGUCGAGUUGUUUGGGAAUGCAGCUCAAAAUGGGUGGUAAAUUCCAUCUAAAGCUAAAUAUUGGCGAGAGACCGAUAGCGAACAAGUACCGUGAGGGAAAGAUGAAAAGAACUUUGGAAAGAGAGUUAAACAGUACGUGAAAUUGCUGAAGGGAAC
rnacentral:rRNA from 1 species